rnacentral:rRNA from 1 species
AACGUAGGACGCGAGCGUUAUCCGGAGUUACUGGGCGUAAAGCGCGGGCAGGCGGUCUGACAAGUCUGAUGUGAAAUCUCCGGGCUUAACCGGGAGAGGCCAUUGGAAACUGACAGGCUGGAGGGCAGUAGAGGUAGGCGGAAUUCCGGGUGGAGUGGUGAAAUGCGUAGAGAUCCGGAGGAACACCAGAGGCGAAGGCGGCCUACUGGGCUGCACCUGACGCUGAGCCGCCGAAAGCCAGGGGAGCGAACGGG